ACCGGGAUUGCCUCAGUAACGGCGAGUGAAGCGGCAGAGCUCAAUUUGAAAUCUGGCCCUUUCAGGGUCCGAGUUGUAAUUUGCAGAGGAUGCUUCGGGUGCGGUCCCCAUCUAAGUGCCCUGGAACGGGCCGUCAUAGAGGGUGAGAAUCCCGUCUGGGAUGGGCGGCCGUGCCCGUGUGAAGCUCCUUCGACGAGUCGAGUUGUUUGGGAAUGCAGCUCUAAGUGGGUGGUAAAUUUCAUCUAAAGCUAAAUACUGGCCGGAGACCGAUAGCGCACAAGUAGAGUGAUCGAAAGAUGAAAAGCACUUUGAAAAGAGAGUUAAACAGCACGUGAAAUUGUUGAAAGGGAAGCGUUGUCCACCAGACUCGCCCGGGGGGGUUCAGCCGGCACGUGUGCCGGUGUACUCCUCUCCGGGCGGGCCAGCAUCGGUUUGGGCGGCUGGUGAAAGGCCCCGGGAAUGUAGCACCCUUCGGGGUGCCUUAUAGCCCGGGGUGCCAUACAGCCAGCCUGGACCGAGGCCCGCGCUUCGGCGAGGAUGCUGGCGUAAUGGUGGUCAACGGCCCGUCUUGAAACACGGAACCAAGGAGUCUAACAUCUAUGCGAGUGUUCGGGUGUCAAACCCGUCCGCGCAGUGAAAGCGAACGGAGGUGGGAGCCUUUCGGGGCGCACCAUCGACCGAUCCUGAAGUCUUCGGAUGGAUUUGAGUAAGAGCAUAGCUGUUGGGACCCGAAAGAUGGUGAACUAUGCCUGAAUAGGGCGAAGCCAGAGGAAACUCUGGUGGAGGCUCGCAGCGGUUCUGACGUGCAAAUCGAUCGUCAAAUUGGGUAUA
rnacentral:rRNA from 1 species